rnacentral:snRNA from 1 species
AUGUUCACUUUGGCAGCACGUAUACUAAAACUGGAACAAUACAGAGAAGAUUAGCAUGGCCCCUGAGCAAGGAUGGCAUGCAAAUUUGUGAAGUGUUCCAUAUUAAA